UACGUAGGGUGCAAGCGUUGUCCGGAAUUAUUGGGCGUAAAGAGCUCGUAGGCGGUCUGUCGCGUCUGCUGUGAAAACUCAGGGCUUAACCCUGAGCUUGCAGUGGGUACGGGCAGACUAGAGUGCGGUAGGGGAGACUGGAAUUCCUGGUGUAGCGGUGAAAUGCGCAGAUAUCAGGAGGAACACCGGUGGCGAAGGCGGUUCUCUGGGCAUUACCUGACGCUGAGGAGCGAAAGUGUGGGGAGCGAACAGG
rnacentral:rRNA from 1 species